rnacentral:tRNA from 1 species
GGGCCGUUAGCUCAAUUGGCAGAGCAACUGACUCUUAAUCAGUAGGUCCUCGGUUCGACCCCGAGACGGCCCACCA